GAUUACACUGAUGAGUGUCCACACAGAUUGAUGGUUUAUACAGUUUAAGAGACGAGGAUGUUGCCAAACAUUCUUACUUAGUGUCCCGUUCGUCUAGAGGCCUAGGACACCGCCCUUUCACGGCGGUAACAGGGGUUCGACUCCCCUACGGGAUACCACUUCCGUUGUGAAGUAAAGGGGUCGUUAGCUCAGUUGGUAGAGCAGUUGACUUUUAAUCAAUUGGUCGCAGGUUCGAAUCCUGCACGACCCACCAUUUCUUCCACAAGAAAUGUGAAAAAACAUGUGGGGCCAUGUGGGCGAUUAGCUCAGUUGGGAGAGCACCUGCCUUACAAGCAGGGGGUCACUGGUUCGAACCGGUAUCGCCCACCACUCUCUAAGAAUUUUUGGAUGCACAUUGCCAAACCAGAUUAAGUAAUUGAACUGGUCGGUCUGUUUGACUCUGAAAGUCAUUAGAAAGUGAUUUGUUCCGUUAGGAAUACCACUCGCUCUUUAACAAUUUGGAAAGCUGACUGAUAACAACAAACGUGUUUGUUGUUAUCAAAUAAAAGUUCUCAACAUCAAUGCGUUUAACGUAUUGAUACCAAACACAUUCAAGUGUUCUUGGGGAAGCUUACUAMGGUAAGUUUUCAAAAUUGAGUCCGGCAAAAUCAAACGUCUCUCGCUCAUUCAAAUAAUGAGAGACAACCUUGGUGACUUGUCUGCAACACGAAACUUCUUCGGGUGA
rnacentral:tRNA from 1 species